GUGAGGAAUAUUGGUCAAUGGGCGGGAGCCUGAACCAGCCAAGUCGCGUGAAGGAAGAAGGAUCUAUGGUUCGUAAACUUCUUUUGCAGGGGAAUAAAGUGCAGGACGUGUCCUGUUUUGUAUGUACCCUGAGAAUAAGGAUCGGCUAACUCCGUGCCAGCAGCCGCGGUAAUACGGAGGAUCCGAGCGUUAUCCGGAUUUAUUGGGUUUAAAGGGUGCGUAGGUGGUUUGAUAAGUCAGCGGUGAAAGUUUGCAGCUUAACUGUAAAAAUGCCGUUGAAACUGUCGGACUUGAGUGUAAAUGAGGUAGGCGGAAUGCGUUGUGUAGCGGUGAAAUGCAUAGAUAUCACGCAGAACUCCGAUUGCGAAGGCAGCUUACUAAGCUACAACUGACACUGAAGCACGAAAGCGUGGGGAUCAAACAGGAUUAGAUACCCGAGUAGUCC
rnacentral:rRNA from 1 species